AUUGAACGCUGGCGGCAGGCUUAACACAUGCAAGUCGAGCGGAGUGAUGGUGCUUGCACUAUCACUUAGCGGCGGACGGGUGAGUGAUGCUUAGGAAUCUGCCUAUUAGUGGGGGACAACAUCUCGAAAGGGAUGCUAAUACCGCAUACGUCCUACGGGAGAAAGCAGGGGAUCACUUGUGACCUUGCGCUAAUAGAUGAGCCUAAGUCGGAUUAGCUAGUUGGUGGGGUAAAGGCCUACCAAGGCGACGAUCUGUAGCGGGUCUGAGAGGAUGAUCCGCCACACUGGGACUGAGACACGGCCCAGACUCCUACGGGAGGCAGCAGUGGGGAAUAUUGGACAAUGGGGGGAACCCUGAUCCAGCCAUGCCGCGUGUGUGAAGAAGGCCUUAUGGUUGUAAAGCACUUUAAGCGAGGAGGAGGCUCUUUUGGUUAAUACCCAAGAUGAGUGGACGUUACUCGCAGAAUAAGCACCGGCUAACUCUGUGCCAGCUGCCGCCGUAA
rnacentral:rRNA from 1 species